rnacentral:rRNA from 1 species
UACGAAGGGGGCUAGCGUUGCUCGGAAUCACUGGGCGUAAAGGGUGCGUAGGCGGGUCUUUAAGUCAGGGGUGAAAUCCUGGAGCUCAACUCCAGAACUGCCUUUGAUACUGAGGAUCUUGAGUUCGGGAGAGGUGAGUGGAACUGCGAGUGUAGAGGUGAAAUUCGUAGAUAUUGGGAAGAACACCAGUGGCGAAGGCGGCUAACUGGUCCAGAUCUGACGCUGAGGUGCGAAAGCGUGGGGAGCAAACAGG